rnacentral:misc_RNA from 1 species
UUAAGUUCAGCGGGUAGUCCUGCCUGAUUUGAGGUCAAACGACAUGGUCUUUUAUUUGUCAUUACGACGAUUAGAAGCCAUCUUUCAAACCCAACCAUAACAAUGCUUUAUUUUUUACUUAUCACAUUGUGUGUGAUCAGGGCAGAUCGCUAAUACAUUUAGGACGAGUCGUAGAAACACGACAACACCCAAGUCCAAUG